rfam:Picea glauca, whole genome shotgun sequence.
UACCUGGUUGAUCCUGCCAAUAGUCAUAUGUUUGUCUCAAAGAUUAAGCCAUGCAUGUCUAAGUAUGAACUAAUUCAGACUGUGAAACUGCGGAUGGCUCAUUAAAUCAGUUAUAGUUUCUUUGAUGGUACCCUACUACUCGAAUAACCGUAGUAAUUCUAGAGCUAAUACGUGCACCAAGUCCCGACUCUUUGGAAGGGAUGAAUUUAUUAGAUAAAAGGCCAGUGCGGGAUUGCCCACUUCUCCGGUGAAUCACGAUAACUCAACGGAUCGCACAGCCCUUGUGCUGGCGAUGCUUCAUUCAAAUUUCUGCCCUAUCAACUUUUGAUGGUAGGAUAGAGGCCUACCAUGGUGGUGACAGGUGAUGGAGAAUUAGGGUUUGAU